rnacentral:rRNA from 1 species
GACGAACGCUGGCGGCGUGCUUAACACAUGCAAGUCGAACGAUGAACCCGGAGCUUGCUCCGGUGGAUUAGUGGCGAACGGGUGAGUAACACGUGAGUAACCUGCCCUUGACUCUGGGAUAACUGCGGGAAACUGUAGCUAAUACCGGAUACGACCCUCGGCGGCAUCGCCAGGGGGUGGAAAGAAUUUCGGUCAAGGAUGGACUCGCGGCCUAUCAGCUAGUUGGUGAGGUAACGGCUCACCAAGGCGACGACGGGUAGCCGGCCUGAGAGGGUGACCGGCCACACUGGGACUGAGACACGGCCCAGACUCCUACGGGAGGCAGCAGUGGGGAAUAUUGCUCAAUGGGCGCAAGCCUGAUGCAGCAACGCCGCGUGAGGGAUGACGGCCUUCGGGUUGUAAACCUCUUUUAGUAGGGGAGAAGCGGAAGUGACGGUACCUGCAGAAAAAGCACCGGCUAACUACGUGCCAGCCGCCGCCGUAA